UGAAAAUGACUUAUCUCCUACUAGCUGUGGAAGUGAAGUUCUUUCAGUUUUAUUAUUUGUUUGGUAAAAAAUGAAUAUCGUAAAAACUGAAGUUUCCCACUUUUUACAUUCGUUUCACCGAAAAGUGUUGUUCACAUGACUAGUAAACUUACAUCCUAUAUAUAGCUCUCGGCCGUGGAUAGUUUUUUUAGGCUGUCUAGUUCCUCGAAAAAGCGUGGAAAAAAACUUUCAAGAAAAAAUUUUUUCAUAGAAAAUCUCUAUUUCAGUUAAUUUUCUGUCGGUUUUUUUAGGCUUUUCUGACCACCCAAACACACAUUAGUGUAUUUACAGUUUUACAACCUUUAAUACUAUAAUGAAUAAGAUACACAAUAAAAAUAAGAUCUUCAACCACUCUAAUCAUACUAGAACUAAUUCUUUCCAU
rnacentral:lncRNA from 1 species